AAACAGUUUUAAGGAGAUAGAGUUGGGAAUGUGGUCAGACAACCAAGAUGUCAACAUUUAAUUAUCCUCAGGAAGCUGUUUACCAGGCUGAAGUUUCUCUUACCAGCUGUCUCCGGCCCGGAGCUGCUGCUGGUUCAGGUUGUCGAUCUCCCGCCACUGGGUCUCUAGUCCCGGAGGCUCCGUAGCCGAACCGGUGCUGCAGUUCGCAGCCAUAAUCACUCAUAAAA